GAAUUCCUCAUUUGAGGCAUCGUAAUUGUUUGGUCUGCCCUUGACAAGUGGUGUUGAAGGUUGGGUCUUGCGCAAUGGGAACCUGUGAACCAUGUCAGGUCCGGAAGGAAGCAGCAUUAAGCAGUGCUUCUCAUGUGCCGCGAGGUCGCCUGGCCCGAGCUAACUAUCAGGGUAACGCAGAUGAUUGCAUGUCGAUGUGAGGUGCGCGA
rnacentral:SRP_RNA from 1 species